AUUGAACGCUGGCGGCAGGCCUAACACAUGCAAGUCGAACGAGUGGCGGACGGGUGAGUAAUGUCUGGGAAACUGCCUGAUGGUGGGGGAUAACUACUGGAAACGGUAGCUAAUACCGCAUACCAUCGGAUGUGCCCAGAUGGGAUUAGCUAGUAGGUGGGGUAACGGCGCACCUAGUCGACGAUCCCUAGCUGGUCUGAGAGGAUGACAAGCCACUCUGGAACUGAGACACGGUCCAUACUCCUCCGGGAGGCAGCAGUGGGGGAUAUUGCACAAUGGGCGCAAGCCUGAUGCAGCCAUUCCUCGUGUAUGUAGAAGGCCUUCGGGUUGUAAAGUACUUUCAGCGGUGAGGCGUUACCCGCAGAAGAAGCACCGGCUAACUCCGUGCCAGCCGCCGCGGUAAUAC
rnacentral:rRNA from 1 species